CUUUGAGUACCACCCCGUUCCAUCCAGGGAACUCUUUCCUGAAGCGCAUUGCUUUGGUUCGCUCUGUCCAGAAUAAUGCACUGAAAAUGAAAAUAAUGCAGGGAACGCGUCAUGAAAUAGCAGUUGCGUUGCAAGUACAAUUCACAUCAUCAGUGCAACAGAGAGGUUAAAGAUGAGGUUGAGGUUAUCACUUGGCGUCAAGAAAUUGUAUAAUAUUCCUCCAAAUGAAGUGUUUGCAGCUCAUGAUUAGGAGCAAAAUUCAAGAUCCAGGAUCCACGUGAGAUGCAAGAGCCUUUGCUCUAUUCAAGGAUUUAGGAAGCAUUGACCAGCUGCAUGGCAAGUACAAUGAGCAUUAUCAGUACAACAAGGAGAUUCAAUCAAGGCAAGAAAUUCUACCAUAUUGUUCUGAAUGAAGAG